rnacentral:rRNA from 1 species
UACGUAGGGGGCGAGCGUUGUCCGGAUUUAUUGGGCGUAAAGAGCUCGUAGGCGGUUCGAUAAGUCGGACGUGAAAUCUCCACGCUCAACGUGGAGGGGCCGUUCGAUACUGUCGUGACUCGAGUCCGGUAGGGGAGUGUGGAAUUCCCGGUGUAGCGGUGAAAUGCGCAGAGAUCGGGAGGAACACCCGUAGCGAAGGCGGCACUCUGGGCCAUUACUGGACACUGAGAAGCGAAAGCAUGGGGAGCGAACAGG